CUGUGGUCUUCAUCGGGAGCUUCCAUAGCUGCGCCGCCUCGUCCUCCAGCACCCCCACGAGCGGCUUCCAACCCCUCACCAACAUCCUCCCUCGCCGUGGGCAAACGCGCACCGCCUCGUCCUCCCCUGCGGCUAGAAGCCGCAGGUACCCGUCUUCUAGCCAAACCCGCAGGUGGAACCGCCUUUGAGGUUGACCUCAAAACCCUAAUCCAACCCCUUACCAACAUCCUCCCCCGUGGCCAGAAGCUCAUCUUCAAAGGUGCGUGCCACAAACCCUAGAUCGCUCAUCCUUGAUAUCUUCCCGACGGCGGUGGAUGCUCGCAGCUUGUUAGCUCGCAGCUUGUCACCCUGCACUCUACGCCCUUUGUUAGCUCGCAGCUUGUUUCACCCGUUGCCUCUCGGUCGCUAGUUCAUGUGGAUGCUUCAUUGUCUCUCAGUCAUCGCCGCAGCAGCCGUUGCCAUCCCUAUCGUAAUUUUUUGAUGUUGUUGGACGUGCUGAAGCUGGAUAGUAAUUCCUUUAUUUUUUCUGUAGUAGCUCUGCCCGUCCAUCAUAUUGAUAGUUUUCUUAGUUAAGUUGUCAAAUUGUAAACUGUUCUUAUAAUUGAAGAGUUUCUAACUGCCCCUUAUCUAGAACCAUAGAACUAUGUUGGUCUUGUGGUCACCUUGUGAGCUCUUCCAUUUAAAGGUUAUGUCAUGAAUACAUUAGACAAGCACUUUGUCAUUCUGAUUGCUAUGUCCAUUCUUCAUAUAUAAUAUCAUCCCCAAUGCUUGAUUC